UUACUGAGAUAGGGUCUCUUCGGAGCCCGACCUCCAACCCUUUGUCUAUUAAACCUCUGUUGCCUCGGCGGGACGCCGGCGCCCUUUUACGGGCGACGCCGUCGGCCUCUGCGCUUUCGAGUGCCCGCCGCAGGAAUCCAACAAACCCUUUUAUAAACGAGUAUAAUCUGAGUGAUAUAUAAUUCUUCAAAUAAAACUUUUAACAACGGAUCUCUUGGUUCUGGCAUCGAUGAAGAACGCAGCGAAAUGCGAUAAGUAAUGUGAAUUGCAGAAUUCAGUGAAUCAUCGAAUCUUUGAACGCACAUUGCGCUCCUUGGUAUUCCGAGGAGCAUGCCUGUUCGAGCGUCAUUAUCAACCAUCAAGCUCUGCUUGGAAUUGGGCCUCGCCCCCUACGGGGCGGGCUCUAAAGUACUUGGCGGCGGUGUCGAAACCCAAAGCGUAGUUAAAAACAAUCAGCUUUGUCAGGAUUCGGCGUCCGCUCUCGCCUCGAGAACCCUCUUAUCUAUGGUUGACCUCGGAUCAGGUAGGGAUACCCGCUGAACUUAAGCAUAUCAAUAAGCGGAGGAAAAGAAACCAACAGGGAUUGCCCCAGUAACGGCGAGUGAAGCGGCAACAGCUCAAAUUUGAAAUCUGGCUCCUUCGGGGUCCGAGUUGUAAUUUGUAGAGGAUGUUUCGGCGUAGGGCCCGUGCUAGGUUCCUUGGAACAGGACGUCAUAGAGGGUGAGAACCCCGUCUUUGCUCGGGAUUCCUUCGCCAUGUGAAACUCCUUCGACGAGUCGAGUUGUUUGGGAAUGCAGCUCUAAGCGGGAGGUAAAUUUCUUCUAAAGCUAAAUAACGGCCAGAGACCGAUAGCGCACAAGUAGAGUGAUCGAAAGAUGAAAAGCACUUUGGAAAGAGAGUUAAAAAGCACGUGAAAUUGUUAAAAGGGAAGCUCUUGCUACCAGACUUGGCCGCGGUUGCUCAGCCGUCCUUUUGGGCGGUGUAUUCUUCCGCGGGCAGGCCAGCAUCAGUUUGGGUGGCCGGAUAAAGGCCCUAGGAAUGUAGCCUCUCGGGGUGUUAUAGCCUAGGGUGUAAUGCGGUCUACCCGGA
rnacentral:rRNA from 1 species